GAGGGUAUAACUCAGGGGUAAAGUACAUGCUUAGCAUGCAUGAGGUCCUAGGUUCAAUCCCCAGUACCUCCA
rnacentral:tRNA from 1 species